rnacentral:misc_RNA from 1 species
GGAGGGAUCAUCAAAGAAAACAAUAUUCUAAACCCCAAGUGUUAGGAGAGAAGGGAGAGGGGGGGGGAAAAAGGGUUAUUACUCUUUUUUUUUCUCUCUCUCUCUCUCCUUCUUUUCCUGAUGCUUCAAACAAACGAUCACAACUAAAGAGAGAAAAUGUGUGGAUACCUGGGUUUUUUUUGAGGGGAAUUAUAAAAGUGCUUGCCUGAUAAUCUGAUUAUUGGAAUUGGAAAGAGAAAACAAUAUACAACUUUCAACAACGGAUCUCUUGGCUCUCACAUCGAUGAAGAACAUAGCAGCGUGUGAAAAUUAAUGUGAAUUGCAGAAUUCAGUGAAUCAUUGAGUCUUUGAACGCAUCUUGCACUUUCUGGUAUUCCAGGGAGUAUGCCUGGUUGAGCAAUGUAAAUAUAUCAUCAAUCUUUGUAUGUUUGAUUUUAUUAUCAUACAGAAAAAAAGAUUGGAAUUGAGUGGUUUACCUUUGAAAAAAAAUAUAAGGUUCACUUGAAAUGAAGGGGAAAAAUGACUACAACAAACUAUGGGAAAGUUUGGUUAAAGAUUGAGAGGGAAAAAGAAAGAGAGACAAGCAAAAAUUGAUUUGGUAUGAACGUUGACUUGGGAAAAACAAAGGGGAUUAGCUUGAUUUUUAACAACAAUGACUUGAUGAGAAAAUAACAGCAAUGUAUGGAUUUGGUGAUUAUUAAUGAUUUGGAUUGCGUUGUUGUAAAAGUGCGCACAAAAGUCUUGUUUAGAGCUUCUUCUCUCUUUUGCUUGUAUAAUCUUCUUUGGAAUCCUUGAUCGUUAUAUAUUAUAUAUAAGACCAGCAAAUCUCGUUGUAUGUUAUAUAUCCACAACUAGGAAUGUGUAUAUAUUUUUAUAUACCUUUUUUUAUCAUUCUCAACUCAGGCAAGACUACCCGCUGAAUUUAAGCAUAUAAAUAAGCGGAGGAAAAGAAACUAACAAGGAUUCCCUUAGUAACUGCGAGUGAAGCGGGAAAAGCUCAAUUUUGAAAUCUAUCAAGAGUAAUAUUCUUGAUCGAAUUGUAGUUUCAAGAAAGAGUAGGCUCAGGGGAGUUUGGUUUGGAUGUAAGUUCUUUGGAAUAGGACAUCAGAGAGGGUGACAAUCCCGUCUACCGUCCUUCCACUUUCCUAAUAAGCCCUCUUUUCAAAGAGUCGAGUUGUUUGGGAUUGCAGCUCAAAAUGGGUGGUAAAUUUCAUCUAAAGCUAAAUAUGGGUGAGAGACCGAUAGCGAACAAGUACCGUGAGGGAAAGAUGAAAAGUACUCUGAAGAGAGAGUCAAAUAGUACGUGAAAUUGUUGAAGGGGAAACGCUUGAAACCAGUCAAGGUUGAUUAGAUUUCAAGGGGAUGUAUUUUACUAGGCGAGAUUGAUAUGGAGUAUUGAUUUCUUGUAAAUUGACUCUAUAUUUUUCUUAUGCUUGGUUGCAUUUCCUGUACGUUUCUAAUAAACGAGUCAGCAUCAGUUUGACUUUGCUUGGGAUAAAGGUAACAGGAUUGAGAAAACUUUUGAUGGGUAUUUUUUAUGCCCUCAGAGGUUUGAGCCUGCUUAUCAUGAUACCAAGCGUUGGACUGAGGAAUGCAGUAUAAGACAUUGACUUGAAAUAGGCAAUCUUGUGAUGUGAUUUUUGGUAAACAGCUUGCUGAUUAUCAAGAAUUUUUACAUCCAAGGCUUGCCAAAUUCAAGCUGGUCUUAACUUUGGAUGUUGACGAAAUGGUUUUAAACGACCCGUCUUGAAACACGGACCAAGGAGUCUAACAUGGAUGCAAGUAUUUGGGUGAUUAGAAACCCAUAUGCGCAAUGAAAGUGAAUUUUUACUAGGUAGGAAGCCAAGAUUUAAUUUUGGCAGCACUAUCAACCGAUCUUAACUAGCUUCGGCUUACUAGAUUUGAGUAAGAGCAUGCAUGUUGGGACCCGAAAGAUGGUGAACUAUGCCUGAAUAGGGUGAAGUCAGACGAAAGUCUGAUGGAAGCUCGUAGCGAUUCUGACGUGCAAAUCGAUCGUCAAAUUUGGGUAUAGGGGCGAAAGACUAAUCGAACCAUCUAGUAGCUGGUUCCUGC